rnacentral:tRNA from 1 species
AGCCCUUUAGCCAAGUGGUUAAGGCAACCGCCUUUGAAGCGGUAAUCCUCAGUUCGACUCUGAGAAGGGCUACCA